UGACAUGGCAUAACAGCAGGAGCU
rnacentral:piRNA from 1 species